rnacentral:misc_RNA from 1 species
CAUGUGUUUUUUAUUGAACAAAUUUCUUUGGUGGCGGGAGCAAUCCUACCGCCAGAGGUUAUAACUAAACCAAACUUUUUAUUUACAGUCAAACUUGAUUUAUUAUUACAAUAGUCAAAACUUUCAACAACGGAUCUCUUGGUUCUCGCAUCGAUGAAGAACGCAGCGAAAUGCGAUACGUAAUAUGAAUUGCAGAUAUUCGUGAAUCAUCGAAUCUUUGAACGCACAUUGCGCCCUUUGGUAUUCCAAAGGGCAUGCCUGUUUGAGCGUCAUUUCUCCCUCAAACCCCCGGGUUUGGUGUUGAGCAAUACGCUAGGUUUGUUUGAAAGAAUUUACCGGG